GCACUGGUGGUUCAGUGGUAGCAUUUUCGCCCGCCAACGCGGGAGGCCCGGGUUCGAUUCCCGGCCAGGGCA